rnacentral:tRNA from 3 species
UGCCGGGUCGUCUAGCGGUAAGGCCUCGGACUUUGGCUCCGAAGACGCCGGUUCGAUCCCGGCCCCGGCAUCCA